rnacentral:rRNA from 1 species
CCUACGGGAGGCAGCAGUGGGGAAUAUUGCACAAUGGGCGCAAGCCUGAUGCAGCCAUGCCGCGUGUGUGAAGAAGGCCUUCGGGGUGUAAAGCACUUUCAGCGGGGAGGAAGGCGUUAAGGUUAAUAACCUUGGCGAUUGACGUUACCCGCAGAAGAAGCACCGGCUAACUCCGUGCCAGCAGCCGCGGUAAUACGGAGGGUGCAAGCGUUAAUCGGAAUUACUGGGCGUAAAGCGCACGCAGGCGGUCUGUCAAGUCGGAUGUGAAAUCCCCGGGCUCAACCUGGGAACUGCAUUCGAAACUGGCAGGCUAGAGUCUUGUAGAGGGGGGUAAAAUUCCAGGUGUAGCGGUGAAAUGCGUAGAGAUCUGGAGGAAUACCGGUGGCGAAGGCGGCCCCCUGGACAAAGACUGACGCUCAGGUGCGAAAGCGUGGGGAGCAAACAGGAUUAGAUACCCUAGUAGUC